rnacentral:lncRNA from 1 species
GAAAGCCGGGCGGGACGGCAGACGAGGCUGCUCGCUGGGAACAACUAUUUAGCCGUCCUGACGCAAGUCGUCCACCUUUUCCGAACUUUAAUCUCCCACCUCUUAAGUCUUAGGAGCAUGAAUCGGCACGCCCAGGCUUGCUAAGAUGACCCAAAUGCAAAUGAGAGCCUGACCAAAACAUUUUUAAACUCUGUAUACGGAGUUAUUUUGAAAUCAGGACCAGAGCUAACUCUGCAGGAAGGAGGAAAAAACUUGAAAAAGAGCAUGUCCACAAAACAUCUCGUGACCUACAGAAGAGAAAACAGACCAUCAAGCUAGAAGGAGAAAAGACUGAUUGAGGGGAAGAUCAGAGUGGAUGAGAGAAUCCACUAUCCUCCAUGGAGACAGACACUGUCAAGGACAAGCACCUGGAUCAUCUCCUCCCCACAAAGAGAUACAGGCUGGUGGGAAAGCUGCUGACCAGCAAGAUCACGGGCUCCCUCCUCUCUGCAAGUAGUCUCAAGGCCAAAGACAAGCUGAGCUGUGCAAAAAUAAAAUUCCUACUUUCUUCC